rnacentral:rRNA from 1 species
AGUGAACGCUGGCGGUAGGCCUAACACAUGCAAGUCGAACGGCAGCACAGUAAGAGCUUGCUCUUACGGGUGGCGAGUGGCGGACGGGUGAGGAAUACAUCGGAAUCUACUUUUUCGUGGGGGAUAACGUAGGGAAACUUACGCUAAUACCGCAUACGACCUACGGGUGAAAGCAGGGGAUCUUCGGACCUUGCGCGAUUGAAUGAGCCGAUGUCGGAUUAGCUAGUUGGCGGGGUAAAGGCCCACCAAGGCGACGAUCCGUAGCUGGUCUGAGAGGAUGAGAGGCAACACUGGAAGUGAGAAACGGUCGGGACCACUACGGGAGGAAGCAGUAGGGAAUCUUGCAGAAUGGGCGAAAGCCUGACGGAGCAACGCCGCGGAAGUGAGGAAGGUCUUCGGAUCGUAAAACGCUGUUAUUAGGGAAGAAAAAAAGCGUAAGUAACUAUGCACGUCGUGACGGUACCUAAUGAGAAAGCCACGGCUAACUACGUG